rnacentral:rRNA from 1 species
AUCGAACGCUGGCGGCAGGCCUAACACAUGCAAGUCGAGCGGAUGAAGGGAGCUUGCUCCUGGAUUCAGCGGCGGACGGGUGAGUAAUGCCUAGGAAUCUGCCUGGUAGUGGGGGAUAACGUCCGGAAACGGGCGCUAAUACCGCAUACGUCCUGAGGGAGAAAGUGGGGGAUCUUCGGACCUCACGCUAUCAGAUGAGCCUAGGUCGGAUUAGCUAGUUGGUGGGGUAAAGGCCUACCAAGGCGACGAUCCGUAACUGGUCUGAGAGGAUGAUCAGUCACCUGUGACUCGGGAACCGGGCCAGCCCCCCACGGGGGGCAGCGGGGGGGAAAUUUCGACAAUGGGGCAAAUCCUAUUCCAGCCCUGCCCGGGGGUUGAAGAAGGUCUUCGGAUUGUAAAGCACUUUAAGUUGGGAGGAAGGGCAGUAAGUUAAUACCUUGCUGUUUUGACGUUACCAACAGAAUAAGCACCGGCUAACUUCGU